GACGAACGCUGGCGGCGUGCCUAAUACAUGCAAGUAGAACGCUGAAGCGAGGAGCUUGCUCUUCUUGGGUGAGUUGCGAACGGGUGAGUAACGCGUACGUCACCUGCCUUGUAUCGGGGGAUAACUACUGGAAACGAUAGCUAAUACCGCCUCACACUGGCUGACACAUGUCAUUUAUUUGAAUGGGGCAAUUGCUGCACUACAAGAUGGAUCUGCGUUGUAUUAGCUAGUAGGUGAGGUAAUGGCUCACCUAGGCGACGAUACAUAGUCGACCUGUGAGGGUGAGCUGAGACACAGGGAAUGAGACACGCGCCAGAGUCCUACAGGAGGCGGCAGAGGGGAAUCUUCGGCAAUGGGGGCGAACCUGACAGAGCGACACCGCGUGAGUGUAGAGAGUGUUCGGGUCGUGAAGCUCUGUUGUGAGGCGAGAGCGAGUGUGAGGGUGGAAAGUUCACUGUGUUACGGGAGCUUACCAGAUAAGGACGGCUAACUACGUG
rnacentral:rRNA from 1 species